UACAGAGGUCCCGAGCGUUAGGCGGAAUCACUGGGCUUAAAGCGUGUGUAGGCGGGUCCGUAAGUGCCUUGUGAAAUCCCACCGCUCAACCGUGGAACUGCUGGGCAUACUGCGGGUCUUGGGCCAACUAGGGGCAGCCGGAACAAGCGGUGGAGCGGUGAAAUGCGUAGAUAUCGCUUGGAACGCCGAAGGUGAAAACAGGCUGCUGGGGUUGCGCCGACGCUGAGACACGAAAGCCAGGGGAGCAAACGGG
rnacentral:rRNA from 1 species